GGCAGCACCGGGCAAGCCCACUCCUCCACCCUGCCCCCCGGGGCCUGAGUCACCAUCUGAACAACCAGGGAGUCAUGGGGGUGGAGAGGCAGAGCCCAGAAAACGGGCUAGCCUGCACGCAUGCCAAGAUGGAGUUCCAGGCUAGCCCACAGAACAGCCCAGCCCCAGCCACCUAUAGACUAGCUCCGUGUAACCACAGUCUUAAGCCAGCGGGCACUAGGGGACUGUGAGUUCCGUGGGGCUGAGCCCUGCGCCGACCAGGCUGGAGUGGUCUUCAAAUCCACUGCUAUUAGGCAAAUUACCUGGUCCCCGCUGAACCCCAGCACCUAGAACUAUGCCACACUCAUAGCAGGUCGCCGCACUGGUUGAACAAAUGAUUUGGAAAGAAUGAAUGGCUUCCUCUGUGCCUGCAUUUCCUCAGAAGGUUGUAAGAAAGAUUAAAUAGGAAAAUUCGUGGCAGUUCAAU